GGAGAAAAGCAGGGGAUCGCAAGACCUCAUGCUCGUGGAGCGGCCGAUAUCUGAUUAGCUAGUUGGUAGGGUAAAAGCCUACCAAGGCAUCGAUCAGUAGCUGGUCUGAGAGGACGACCAGCCACACUGGAACUGAGACACGGUCCAGACUCCUACGGGAGGCAGCAGUGGGGAAUUUUGGACAAUGGGCGAAAGCCUGAUCCAGCAAUGCCGCGUGAGUGAAGAAGGCCUUCGGGUUGUAAAGCUCUUUUGUCAGGGAAGAAACGGUGAGAGCUAAUACCUCUUGCUAAUGACGGUACCUGAAGAAUAAGCACCGGCUAACUACGUGCCAGCAGCCGCGGUAAUACGUAGGGUGCAAGCGUUAAUCGGAAUUACUGGGCGUAAAGCGUGCGCAGGCGGUUUUGUAAGUCUGAUGUGAAAUCCCCGGGCUCAACCUGGGAAUUGCGUUUGAAACUACAAGGCUAG
rnacentral:rRNA from 1 species